UAAAAUGAAUUAUAUUGAUUCACCACAAUGCUUUAUACGUUUAUAUUAGUUAUUUUUUUUAAAUCAAAUUACAAACGGUGUAUAUAACAAGUUUCAAUUACGAGAUGCAUGACCGAAUGUUGUCAACCGAUUGAGGUUAAUGAAUUUAUUGAAUUUGAAUUUCAAAAGCUCUCGAAAAUUUAUUCAACAAAUAUAUAAAAUGUAUCCACAAUGACAUAUAUAGUUUUAUAGGUUAUGUUCGGACAUAGUCGUUACGAGAAAAGGACAUACCUGUAGCUAGUAUUGUGUAUACCAUCGAUUUCAAUUUUAUGACCUCGUAAAUUUAUUGUGGACCACACAGUGCAUCAUAACCGAAACGGCUGACUUUGAAAGCGUUUUCUUCAACGCAAUCCCUCUCUAGCGAGCCUUUAGUGCGCCAACAGGGGCCAAAAAGAAAGAACGACGACAAGAGAAAAACAAUAUUUUAUUCGUCUUUUCUACCAAGCAAAUUCACUGUUGCAUCUUAUAGAGGCACUUGGACGAGAAUCAAGAGUAAAGAAAGUAGAUUGGCUUUUUAUGGAAAAUUCACAUUUACUUGGAUGGGCCGAAAACAAGGAAAAUUGAUUAUUUAUUGCCCAAAUGCGGAAAAGUGGUUUAUAUGCUCUUCGAAAUGAAUAAUAUAUCGCAAUACAGUGCCAAGACAAAGGGUUACAUUGGAGAAAAAGGAUUUUAGACUAGGAUUUAAGACUGAAAUAUUCGAAAAAGCGAAACAGUGGCUUAGCAUCGUCGAGGAUUACGUACAUGGUUUGGAAAAGAUAGGUUAUGUGGAUGAAUGGAGAAGGAAGGAUGAAGAUGGGACAAAAGGAUCUAACGGGAUGGGAGAGGGAACAGUAUCGUCCUUUCGUCAGUCCUCUGAAAAAUAAGCUUUACCCCCCAUCCCCCGUAUCUUCUCAUACAAUCUUUCUCUCCGGCACAAUUUCCCGCGCACAAAAGCUUUUUCGCGAAUCGCGCAGAAGCACAAUCGCGGAAUCCAAUUUAAUAAUAGUUUUCUCUCGCAAGGAAUAAGCGCAAUCGAAAUCGACGAGAGAACUCGGAUCUGGAGAAAGAAACUCGAGAUUCUUUAACCCUCAUUUUUCUUUUUCGAUAGAUAUGUCAACCUAUAUAUAUAUAUAUAUAUACUUGCUUCUCCAAAAAGAACACACGAAAUAAUUUCUUAAAAUGACAAUGAUUUUCGCGAUACACGCAAUGAUAAAAAAUUUAUUUGAUUCAAUUAAUUCAAAUUAAUUGAAAAAUAAUUGCUUGGAUCAAAUAUUUUUUAUUAACGCGCCGAUCACAUGCGGUGCGGGUUCUCAAAAGGCCCAGGUACUGGAGUUAUACAAUGAUCA